CGGGAUGAAGGUUCCACAAAUAAAUGGUGGGAUGAGACCCGAUUAGUACCAAAUUUAAAAAUAAAAUAAUUGUCCCAAGGCCUACCACCUCUAGGCCUAAGGGUUUCCAUUUUCUUAAGUUCGAACUUCAAAUCUUGCAUAUAUUAUGUAUUGUCUUUACCAAUUAAGUUAAACUCACAUAAACAUUAUUCGGUGAAUAUCACUUCUACAAACUAAAAGAAAAAACUCAAAACCCAAUUUUUAUCAUGCUAGCUUCAAAUUGAGUUCACUUCAAAUCCAAAAAAUUACACUAAAAUUAAUUAAUUAAUCAACAACAAUUAAAAAUAACACAAACCCAUAACAUAUCAGAUCAGAUCUAUGUAUUUCCAAAAAAAAAGAUCUAUGUAUUUCCAAUCACCAAAAUAAAAAACCUUAACUUUAUUUCAAUUCAUAGGUAACUUCUAACAACAACAACAACAAAAUCAUUAAAAAGAAAAACACAUCCAAUUAUUACAACUUACAAUAAUGCAGUUUCUACCUCAGAUCCAGGUGUAACCAUAUCAACCAGUAUAGAUAUGAACACGAAGAGCCAAGAUGAUAACAGCAUAAAGACCAAAGAAAAUAAGUGUAUGAAUGAAAAUAGCUUUUCCAUUUGUCUUCAUACCACCAAACUCAAGCUGUUUUCCAUUUCCUGGAAAUGAAAACAACAACCCUGGUUGAAGAAACACAAACAGCACAACUCCAAUAACCACUGGUGCCCAAUCAGACAUUUUUUUGAACACUAGUGAAUAAAAAAAAGGUAGAUCUUUAUGACCCAGAUGAGAAAAAUUGUGACUUUCGGUGAAGAAAGUGGUAAAGGUGUUGAAGCUUUAAGGAAAUGAGUGAAAUUUCUUGGAAAGUGAUGUUUUAAAAUUUGGAACAAUUUGGAAGCACAAGAAAAAGUGUGGCAGGUGAUAUUGUUUUUGUUGACGGUAGGGUUUGGUUGUGUGUGGGAGGUACUAGGUAGGAUAUGGUAUGGUACUUUUUUUUUAUUUACUUGCGUCAGGAUUAACUGAACAAAAGAUUCUUUGGUAUGGGUUUGAUUUAGUGGGCCAAGAUGCAAAUGUCAUGCAAUUGAUGUUAGACAAAUUUACUCUUACCCCAUUGUUUUUGAAAGAACAUACCCUAUCAAUCGACCAAUUUGAAGGGAAAAAUACC
rnacentral:lncRNA from 1 species